UGAGAGACACAGAGAGAGAAGCAGACACUUUGGCAGAGAAAGAAGCAGGCUCCCUUUGGGGAGCCCGAUGCGGGACUCAAUCCCAGGACCCCAGGAUCACAACCUGAGCCAAAGGCAGAUACUUAACCACUGAGCCACCCAGCUGUCCCCCUCCCCUUUUUAAAAAUAUUUUAUAUUUUAAUUUAUUCAUGAGAAACACACAGAGUCAGAGACAUAGACAGAUGGAGAACUGACACGUCUUUAACAAAAUCACUAUCCUCAAGUACUUUUCCAUAAAAAAUUGGACUUUAUAUUCUGGAAAUGACAAAAACGCCCUCAAACUUAGGCCUUAAAAAAUUACAUCAUAAAACCUUUUAAGAAAGCAGAUCAUGUUCUCUCUAAACAUGUUUUUGUAAAAUCAUUCUGAACAAUACAUUCUUUUUUUUUUUUUUUUUAAGAUCUUAUUUAUUCAUAAGAGACACACAGAGAGAGGCAGAGACACAGGCAGAGAGAGAAGCAGGCUCCAUGCAGGGAGCCCCAUGCGGGACCCAAUCUCUGGACCCCAGGAUCAGCCCUGAGCCGAAGGCAGACGCUCAACCACUGAGCCACCUAGGCGUCCCUGAACAAUACAUUCUUUUAAAAGUCUGUGAUUUUGGUUCAGAUAUUUCUUAUCUAAUGCUCAGGCACAGCGGCUGCGUUUGUUGCCCUCCUGAUAGAGAUGGAUGCUCUGGAAACCCUUCCCGACAACCAGUCCCGGACACAGGCAGGCCCGACCCUUCUUUCCUGGGCUCCAGGGGCUCCCGGCCGCGAUCAAGGCUGGAGAGGAGGUGCUGGAGGGCGGCCUUGCUCCCCCCAGCCUGGCUGCGCUCUGCGCCCAAGAGGCUGAGGAUGUGCUGCAGCAGCUGCAGCUGAAAUAAUCAUGAGUAGGACAACUGCGGCAGCACAGCUUCAAGAGUGUCAUUCUCCUCAGUGUGAAGAUCUACAAUCCAAACAGAGAGGUGAUUUGUCCCUUUACUGUCUAACAUACAACGUCUAAGACAGAAAUAAGGUAACAUUACCGGCACCCCCAUUCAAACUGGGGGAAAGCGGAAAGCACACAGCUCUCGCUGGUCUAUUGUAAACCUGAUGCCCAUUUGGGCAGGUGGUGUGGGUUUUCAGAUAGGAGCUCAGGCUAACUCUCCGAGAGUUACUCUCCAGGGCUGAUUUUUCUCCUCUCUGCACUUCUUAGUUCUCCCUUUAAGUUAUCCUUCCUUUUCCACAAGAAGUGGCUCCUGGCAUAGGCUACUUAAAAAAAAAUAUAUUUUAUUCAUUUAUUUGAGAGAGAGAGAGAGAAAGAAAGAGAGAGAAAUAGGGGGAGGGGCAGAGGGAGAGGGAAAAACUGACUUCCUGCUGAGCAGGGAGCCCAAUGUGGGACUCAAUCCCAGGACCCUGAGAUCAUGACCUGAUCCAAAGG
rnacentral:lncRNA from 1 species